CGGGUGAGUAACGCGUGAGGAACCUGCCUCAAAGAGGGGGACAACAGUUGGAAGCGACUGCUAAUACCGCAUAAGCCCACAGGUCGGCAUCGACCAGAGGGAAAAGGAGCAAUCCGCUUUGAGAUGGCCUCGCGUCCGAUUAGCUAGUUGGUGAGGUAACGGCCCACCAAGGCAACGAUCGGUAGCCGGACUGAGAGGUUGAACGGCCACAUUGGGACUGAGACACGGCCCAG
rnacentral:rRNA from 1 species